UACAGAGGGUGCGAGCGUUAAUCGGAAUUACUGGGCGUAAAGCGUGCGUAGACGGUUACGUAAGUCGGGUGUGAAAGCCCCGGGCUCAACCUGGGAAUUGCAUUCGAGACUGCGUAGCUAGGGUGCGGAAGAGGGAAGCGGAAUUUCCGGUGUAGCGGUGAAAUGCGUAGAUAUCGGAAGGAACAUCAGUGGCGAAAGCGGCUUCCUGGUCCAGCACCGACGUUCAGGCACGAAAGCGUGGGGAGGCAAACAGG
rnacentral:rRNA from 1 species